CACCAAGUCAUCUCCAUGCCAUGUAUUUGUUCUGCUCUGUCACUGAACCAGCUGCUUCCAAUGAGCAGCCAGGACGGUGAGCUCAUUAGUGAAGGCACCUGGCUGUUACAUUCACGUGAAGUUACCCGCGCUUCUCGCUAUACAGACCAUGUAUAAGCUUGAACGUUACCUUUCACGUUGAUAGAGGAGGUUUGAUGCGCUCCUUGAUGACUCACAACAAGUCGGAAAUAACGUUGUGUGUUGUUGUGCUCACACAGUGCACGUAGGAUCAUUAGUGGAGCAUUGACAUUAAUGAUCAUGUGAAAUUUCUGUAGCGGCGCACAUAAUUAAGCGGUGCACCGCUGCCGAAUGAAUGUACGGGAAACACUGCUGAUACAUAUGAGUCUGAGGUAGACCUAUGUGAGAUAAAAACAAAUUUUUUAUUUAGGUGUGGUGGCUUUUGUUUAGCCAUGGCGGUGCGCUACGAUCAAUAGCAUGUAGAGGAAACCCUGAAAUUACUAGUUUAUGGUUUUUCUUUUUUUUUUUUAUUUCACAAACAUCCUGAUAACAAAUACAUCUAUACAACAUCCUAAAAUUCAAGAGAUGUGAAAACAACAGCCACAACUUCAGAUCGGCAGUCUGAGCAGUGACGCCACAAUGGUGCAAUGUAUUGCCAUGUGAUGUUGGAAACCUCAGUUGAUUGAGCUCACUACAUAGUCAGCUAUAUAGUGAAACCCCAUAUGGGGGUUAGGGGUUAGGGAUUCAUUUUGGACACAGCCUUUUUCUGCUUUUUCUUUUUCUUCUUCUUCUAAUUGUGAAUGUUUUCAGGUAGCGGUUUUGAACCGUCACCCUUCAGCCUCAGAUGGAGACUUUAAAGUUUUGGUUCCAGGUCAUUAGUUGGAUCCUGGACUGACUCUAAAAGAACCGGUCCUCAGAACCACCAGCACCGGGUCUCCUGGAUGUUGGCCUGUUUGGAUCAGAACCGGCUGCACUCAGAAGCUAACAAUGCUAACAUUUGCUAACAGGAGACUUUCUCGAAUGCUGAGUCACUAGUUAAAUUCUGUUGACUCAUCGUGCAGGUGUGGUCAGCAGGUGAUUAUCAGCUGUUCUUAAACCCCUUCAAACUGCUGCCUCUAGAUCAGCUGAUUUUAUUAGCCUACAUCAGCUAACUUAUGCUAAUGUAGGCUAAUAAGACGGCAGUGUUGGAAGCUAGCUGUAACGUUAGCCACAGAUUCAGGCUAAUUACAGUGAUAUUUAAUGUAUUUAUAGUUAUUUCUAAUAUCCUGAAUCUCUGCUGCUAAUGAUCUAACCUGAGCGAUGUUAGCCAGCUAAUGCUAAAGUAGCAUGGCAGCCGAAUGCUAAUGCUAAUGCUAAUGCUAAUGAUCUGCUAAGGGAAGUUUUUCGUAGAACCUGAUCCUGCAGGUGAUUUUUAAACCGGAUUAUUCUGGAAAAUUAAAGGAGUCUGAGAAUUUAGCUUCAGGUUCUGAUUCAGCUCAGACAACAACCAGGAGUCUUUUCAAAAUAAAAGCCUGAAUGUGAAUGACUGUCUUUGUAAAUGAACCUGCUCAGUGUCACAUGAUGGACAGGUGUGACGGACAGGUGUCAUCCAAUCAGAGUUUAUUUUUGUAAAUUAACUUUAGACUUUUGUACAUUUAUUAAAGCAGACCUGAGAUCAGCUGUUUUCUGUUUAUGCGGGGCAGCAAUAACCACAGGCAGAGUGCCGCACGCACGGUUCAAAGGUACAAGGCAGGACACGUCAAAGUUUUUGGGCCGUGGAAUCGGACACAUCAGAAAAGCACAUUUCUACGCUGCAAAACUGCAAAAGACGGCGAAUUGUGAAAAAAUGUGUCGCACGGCUCACUUCCUGAGACCGUUGGAGGGGCACAUGAACGCAGCACCCACAAAAAAAUAUAAUCAUGUGACAGAGUUUGAACUUUUACCUCUGCAGGGGUUCUUUCAGACUGACCUUCAAUCAGUCUUCCUGUUCAUCUGUCUUUAGUUUGUUCUCUGUGGCGCCCAGCAGCUGCUGUAGCCUUAAAGCCAGAGAGGAUGAUGGGAGAUGUAGUCCAGUAGUGAGGUAGGCUGGGACCAGUUCAUGUGCUAAAAUAAAAACCUGGAAACUGUA